GACCUGGGCUACACACGUGCUACAAUAGGCGGUACAAAGGGUACGCGAACCCGCGAGGGGAGGCCAAUCCCAAAAAGCCGCUCUCAGUUCGGAUUGCAGGCUGCAACUCGCCUGCAUGAAGCCGGAAUCGCUAGUAAUCGCGGAUCAGCAUGCCGCGGUGAAUACGUUCCCGGGCCUU
rnacentral:rRNA from 1 species